GAGACCCAUUUAACUGUGAGAUGGAAGCAGUAGCACAGAUCUUCACGUUACAGAACAGCUAGAAUUACAGAGGGAUAGAAAUCUGCAAACCAUUUGUAUGACAAGGUGUUCUUCUUCUAUCAUCACACAGAAAUACAGCUACCACUACACUAGUGAAGCUGGCUGUCUGAUUUCUACAUGUUCAUGGGUGGUCACAGUCCAUUUCUUCCGGAGACAAAGUCUCCCUAUUAAAAGCAUUAAUGAAAUAUUUAUUUCUUGUAAUGUCUGUUCUCCUUCUGAGACUUUACUUGUUUAUUGCUGUUUGACGUGAAAUAACAAUACAAACAGUAAUAAAACUAAUGUUUAAAAAAAUGGACCACGCAAAGAAAAUGGGAGCGGGGGGACAACCCCAAACUGACUGAUGCCUCACAACUGAAGUCGUUCCUUGCACCUGCAGUGGAUAUACAGAGAAAAAUACCAAAGGAAACGAGCAGUAUUUAGAAUGCAAAGAAUUAUUUUUACAAUUGGAUCCUUCUGUACAGGAUUGCAGAGCACAAGUAUCCAGAAUUGGGUGUU
rnacentral:lncRNA from 1 species